GAUGAAGAACGUAGCAAAAUGCGAUAAGUAAUGUGAAUUGCAGAAUUCAGUGAAUCAUCGAAUCUUUGAACGCACAUUGCGCCCGCUGGUAUUCCGGCGGGCAUGCCUGUUCGAGCGUCAUUUCAACCUUCAAGCCCCCGGGUUUGGUGUUGGGGAUCGGCUCUGCCCUUCUGGGCGGUGCCGCCCCCGAAAUACAUUGGCGGUCUCGCUGCAGCCUCCAUUGCGUAGUAGCUAACACCUCGCAACUGGAACGCGGCGCGGCCAUGCCGUAAAACCCCAACUUCUGAAUGUUGACCUCGGAUCAGGUAGGAAUACCCGCUGAACUUAAGCAUAUCAAUAAGCGGAGGA
rnacentral:misc_RNA from 1 species